rnacentral:rRNA from 1 species
CCUACGGGAGGCAGCAGUGGGGAAUAUUGGGCAAUGGGCGAAAGCCUGACCCAGCGACGCCGCGUGAGGGAUGAAGGUCUUCGGAUCGUAAAACUCUGUCAGCAGGGAGGAACGGUCACUGUGCUAAUCAGCAGUGAAUUGACGGGACGUACAAAGAAAGCACAGGCUAACGCCGGGCCAGCAGCCGCGGUAAUACGGAGGGUGCGAGCGUUAAUCGGAAUUGCUGGGCGGAAGGCGCUCGUAGGCGGUAUGUCAAGUCAAGGGUGAAAUGCCCGGGCUCAACGGGGGAACUGCCUUUGAAACUGGCAAACUGGAGUGGGCGAGAGGAGAGCGGAAUGCCAGGUGUAGGGGUGAAAUGCGUAGAUAUCGGGAGGAACACCAGUGGCGAAGGCGGCUAUCUGGCACAGAACUGACGCUGAGGAGCGAAAGCGUGGGUAGCAAACAGGAUUAGAUACCCGGGUAGUC